CCCGCUGAAUUUAAGCAUAUUAUUAAGCGGAGGAAAAGAAAAUAACAAUGAUUCCCUCAGUAACGGCGAGUGAGA
rnacentral:ncRNA from 1 species